GAUUAAGAACUUCCCACGUGAAAUACUUUGAACAUAAGUGUUUUUAUGGGAAAAAAACACUUACCAUGACGAAAAAUAAAUGUAUUGUGAAAUUUUAGAGGGGUUAAUAAAAUGUUCAUAUGUAUAUCCCAUUUUAGCAAUUAGUUGAAUUAUUUUGAAGCAAUCCAGGUUGGAUUUUAAAGCUACUUUUAUUCAAGCUAAACUAGAAUUUCGGAUGCUAACGGAAUACGCGCAUGGUAAAAAUCAAAACAUUGCGAAUUAUUUCAAGUCUACACUACAUGAAAUUGCGUGGAGAGGUCAGGUAUGUGAGUAAACAUGCACAAUAUUAUUAUAGUGUUACUAUAACGAGACACAAAGAUAGCCGCCGCGUCACUGAGUUAGCUGAGGUCAAUAAACACUAUAGUUGUUCACUUGUAAAUAGGCACACAACAAAGCUGAGUUAAUGUCUAAGACGGGGUUUGCCGGUUUGGGCAAACUAAUUCAAAAUGGAGUUCCCGAAACCAUAUAAUCUAAUAGGUAGAUAUCAUGUGAACGUGUAUUGUAGCACACACGUACACAUACAACUAACGCGUGUAUUUUAAUAGGUAAUAAAAAAAUAAUAGUUAAAAACACUAACAGUAUACAUAGAUAAUUUAUGCGUUUUUUAUAAAGGUAUUUUUUCUAUUUCUACGAAUUCCUUGACGGUUGACCGGCUAGAUUAACGGCCCAGACAAAUAUUUUUGUUUAAAACAUUACGCAACCAUAUUUUCGAUCUAACCUAGAGCAUGUAAAAAUUAACAAAUAAAAUAAUUUCAUAGGUUUUAUAUGAAUUUAUUCUCACGGAUAUGUAUAUUUGAAAACCCUUUCUAGUAAAAAGUUUUACAUAAUCUUUUUUUUUAAACAUCGAAAUUAUGAAUAGCAUUGUAUUUUACAUAGAAACCUGAUUUCUUCAGUUGGUUGUUGAGCAAUUGACUAAAAAAAAAGCCUUAUGUUAAUUAUUUUUUGGUAUGGCAUGUUAUAUAGUUAAUCAUUGAGAUU